rnacentral:rRNA from 1 species
UACGGAGGGGGCGAGCGUUAUUCGGAAUUAUUGGGCGUAAAGCGCGCGCAGGCGGCUUUUGUAAGUCUGUCGUUUAAGUUCGGGGCUCAACCCCGUAUCGCGAUGGAAACUGCAAGGCUUGAGUGCAGAGGAGGAAAGUGGAAUUCCACGUGUAGCGGUGAAAUGCGUAGAGAUGUGGAGGAACACCAGUGGCGAAGGCGGUUGCCUGGAGCUUUGCUGACGCUGAGGCGCGAAAGCGUGGGGAGCGAUCCGG